AAAAACUUGACUGCAUCCAAACCAAAACAUACAAAAUACAACAUAAAACAUAAAUAAAUGGAAGGCACAACACAGAAGCAAUUACAUUAAGCACUAAAUUAGUAAGGAGCCAUAACUGAUAGUUGUUUGCUAUCCAAAUGAAAAGAAAUACAAAAUGAGUUUGUUAUAUGUGAAUCAGCGGAACUUGCAAUUGGAUUGAGUUAAAAGUUU
rnacentral:misc_RNA from 1 species